UUUAUCGAUAAAUCCGCGGUCACACUGAUCUCAAUGUGUGUGGGUUUCCCGUGGACGGCCGUUUUGAAGCCCAACUGUGGCCCACAACUCCGCCCUGCCUCAGCCCCCAGACCAUCCCGGCGGUGCUCUACAUGGUAAAUCGGACAAAACAUUUCAAACCAUUAAUCUGACCACAAGACCAUCGCUGAAACUGGCCUGGAAACUGGGACUCACACUGGCUACCGGAACCACCAUCGUCCUAAAGCCAGCCGAGCAGUCAAUGUGGUGCACGCCGUCAAGCACACCUUUUUAAAGACUUUAAAAAUGCAACAGAGAACCUACUGAUAUUGCAUUUGAGGUGCAACGCGACCAAGUUAAGGAUGAAGAUGGAGCGAAAAGACUCUAGACGAGUGUGCCAGGUUACCACUACCACAAUGCCUUCUAUAAGGACCCCAGGUCCGAAGGCGACAACAAAGUCGCGACCAAAGUCAGAACGAAAUAGGAACACUAAGAAAUCUGAAGAAAAGAGACGAAGUGCCGCAUGGUUGCUUGGAUGAGGCCUCGACGGCGGGGUUGAUGCAAGCACAUAAACGGAGCAGGACGUGGUGUCUAUGAUGAGCUUCCAUCUGCGUCGCAAAAAGGCUGAGUACCUGCAGAUAUAUUCGUCUCAUUUGUCAUCUCAUUGCAUUUCGAACAGGACUGGACCAAACCCUGGCGGCCAAGCUUACACCAGAAGAGUACGUCAAGGAGACUCAUGCCGUGCCCGGGUUUACGGAGCUGCUGGCUCCUGCAUUCCCAACAAGACGCGUCUGGACAGAUUGUGCGCCACAACGGCAGCGCAAGGGCAUCCGCCAUUUGCAGGCUUUGUACGUGUCCCACCUGCACGCGGAUCAUCACAUUGGAUUGAUUGGACUGCUGAAGGAGCGCAGACAGCUGGCCCCGAAGGAAACUCGCUGCUCCUACUUGCGCCGCGGCAGAUCGAGCCAUGGGUGGAGUUCUAACACGGAUAGCUCUUGGCGAGACUCCUGACUGGAGAGGCAGUGGCACCAUUGGGUAUAACUGCCGCCACUGCCAAGUCACCAGUAGGAACUGCCAAGCCGCCAGUACGAACAGCUGCUUAAAAUCUUGCGAGAGGCUUGACGAUGCUGUGGAUGAUCGAGUUCAGCCCAACAAUCAACCGUUGCGGAAUGAGAGGAGCAGCAGCAAGGCAAGAAGGAUGCCGAUCAGGAUUUCUACUAAAACCAGUACAGUUCGGCUAACUCGUCGUAGUCCUGGGUGGGCAUUGAUGACUAUUUGGAUGAGGCUCUGGUCGAGGACUAUGGAAGCACAACAACUAGCCACCUAUCGAUGGGCAGCAAGGAAAAGAACCCGGCCGCAACGAGUUGCGUUACUAUUGGCGAUCAAGAGAUCAUGGACUGCAAAGAACAAUUCGACAAGCAGCGGCAGGCAACAUUACUUGGGCCGAGCCGGGCAGUAAAUGUAAAAGUUGUACAGCACAUUCUUAAAAGCGAGCUCCGGCGGUCUUAAGCCUUCUGCACCAUGUUUUACAUAAUCGGUUUUGACCGGCUCCAGUGGCCAAAAAAGUGCUAUAGAGCGAUUCCCUCUUCUUACCCCACCAGGAGGUCACCCCUCCGGUGGCCAUGAAUACCUCUUGCAUGCCCGCGGAUACCGAAAUACCCACCAUCGUUUAACUGGUGCUUCACACUUCUGGUCCUCCGGCUUAGCUGAGCGAGUGGGCGCUCGAUGACGGCUGUCCACUCUAGGCGCCUACCGGCUGAAAUCGCGAGCUCCCCACCGGCUCCUGGGACAUGAUUUUCAUCGCGCGAGCUGUGGCCUCUAGCCUGGACGACCUUUGGGUCCUCUCGGGAUGUGUAAGGGAUGUGCUCCUGGCUGGACUGUGGCAGACACUGGCUGUCCUGCUACGGGCCAAAGCCAUGAUGCCACUACUGUGUCGCUGAAUCGACAAUGUGGCGUCCCAUCCGCUGCAGCAGGGACCACUGAUCGACAGCAGAAUUGUGGGCUCACGCCCACGGUAAUCAAACGCUGGACUUCAGCCUCGAGACGCAGGGCUUAUGUACCCUAUCCAAGCAUUACCGAAUCGUAUCCCAGCAGGACAAAAGCGCACCCCUUGCAAGAGCCCAAACAUAACAAGCCGACGUCACAUUUCGACCUGGCCAUUGAAAACUAUCUCAAGGACUUUGGCUAUGGCAACCAAGGGAGGGAUACGCGGACUACCAGACUAUAGAUAGAUCUCGUUGUUAAUAGGUUUAAUAGGUUUAAGGAUACACACGUCUAUACAUUUAGAUAGUAGAGAUAAAUAUUUUCAAAUUGUUUAUUUCUUUAUACUAAGUUAACGAUAUGAUGAAUAAAACUAUUGAAAAAUUA